CACGCAGCAGUCGUUCGAGGCGCUCAACCCGCGCGCGGUGGCUGUGGUCGUCGACCCUAUUCAGAGCGUCAAGGGAAAGGUGGUCAUUGACGCGUUCCGCCUAAUCAACCCGCAGACUAUGAUGCUAGGGCA
rnacentral:ribozyme from 1 species